rnacentral:rRNA from 1 species
UACGGGGGGGCAAGCGUUGUUCGGAAUUACUGGGCGUAAAGGGCUCGUAGGCGCCAACUAAGUCAGACGUGAAAUCCCUCGGCUUAACCGGGGAACUGCGUCUGAUACUGGUUGGCUUGAAUCCGGGAGAGGGAUGUGGAAUUCCAGGUGUAGCGGUGAAAUGCGUAGAUAUCUGGAGGAACACCGGUGGCGAAGGCGGCAUCCUGGACCGAGAUUGACGCUGAGGCGCGAAAGCCAGGGGAGCAAACAGG